UGACCCUCCGUGGAAAUUAAACUUAGUUGGGUGGGGUUAAAAGGCCCUACCCAAGGGCGACCGAUUCUCUUAGCCUGGUUCUGAGAAGGAUGAUUCAAGCCCACACUGGGGACUUGAGACCCCGGCCCCAGAAUUCCUUACGGGGAGGGCAGCCAGUGGGGGAAAUAUUUGGACCAAUGGGCGGCAAACCCUGAUCCCAGCCCAUGCCCGCGUUGGUUGAAGAAAGGCCCUAAGGGUUGUUAAAGCACUUUUCAGGAAGUGAGGAAAGGGGCGUAUAGUUUAAUACCCUGUAUGUUUUUGACGUUAAACUCCAGAAGAAAGCACCGGGCUAACUUCUGUCCCAGCAGCCCCCGGUAAUACAGAGGGGUGCGAGCCGUUAAUCGGAAUUACUGGGCGUAAAGCGCGCGUAGGCGGUUUGUUAAGUCGGAUGUGAAAUCCCAGGGCUCAACCUUGGAAUGGCACCCGAUACUGGCAGGCUAGAGUACGGUAGAGGGGUGUGGAAUUUCCUGUGUAGCGGUGAAAUGCGUAGAUAUAGGAAGGAACAUCAGUGGCGAAGGCGACACCCUGGACCGAUACUGACGCUGAGGUGCGAAAGCGUGGGGAGCAAACAGGAUUAGAUACCCUGGUAGUCCACGCCGUAAACGAUGUCUACUAGCCGUUGGGGAUUUAUUUCUUUAGUGGCGCAGCUAACGCGAUAAGUAGACCGCCUGGGGAAGUACGGCCGCAAGGUUAAAACUCAAAUGAAUUGGACGGGGGACCCGCACAAGCGGUGGUAGCAUGUGGGUUUAAUUCGAAAGCAACGCGAAGAACUCCUUACCUACUCUUUGACAUCCAGAGAACUCUUUUCAGAGAUUGAAUUGGUUGCCUUCAUGGGAACUCUGACGACAGGUGCUUGCAUGGCAUGUCGUCAGCUUCGUGUUGCUGAAAUGUUGGGGUUAAGUCCCGGUAACGGAGCGCAACCCUUAUCCGUUAUUUGCCAGCACUUCAUGGGUGGGAACCUCUAAGGUAGACUGGCCGGUGAUCAAACCCCGGGAGGAAGGUGGGGAAGCGACGUCAAGUCCUAUCAUGGUCCCUUACGAGUAGGGCUACACACGUGCUACAAUGGCGUAUACAGAGGGCAGCGAACUCGCAGAGGGUAAUCGCAAAUCGCCAAAAAGUACGUCGUAGUCCGGAUUGGAGUCUGCAACUCGACUCCAUGAAGUCGGAAUCGCUAGUAAUCGUGAAUCAGAAUGUCACGGUGAAUACGUUCCCGG
rnacentral:rRNA from 1 species